rnacentral:lncRNA from 1 species
AUGUCUUCAUACACACAUCUACUAUAUACUGUACUAUAUGUCUUCAUACACAUAUCUACUAUAUACUGUACUACUAUAUACUAUAUACUGUACUAUAUGUCUUCAUACACAUAUCUACUAUAUACUGUACUAUAUGUCUUCAUACACACAUCUACUAUAUACUGUACUACUAUAUACUGUACUAUAUGUCUUCAUACACACAUCUACUAUAUACUGUACUAUAUGUCUUCAUACACAUAUCUACUAUAUACUGUACUACUAUAUACUAUAUACUGUACUAUAUGUCUUCAUACACACAUCUACUAUAUACUGUACUAUAUGUCUUCAUACACACAUCUACUAUAUACUGUACUAUGUCUACAUACACAUAUCUACUAUAUACUGUACUAUAUGUCUUCAUACACACAUCUACUAUAUACUGUACUAUAUGUCUUCAUACACACAUCUACUAUAUACUGUACUAUAUGUCUUCAUACACACAUCUACUAUAUACUGUACUAUAUGUCUUCAUACACACAUCUACUAUAUACUGUACUAUAUGUCUUCAUACACACAUCUACUAUAUACUGUACUAUAUGUCUUCAUACACACAUCUACUAUAUACUGUACUAUAUGUCUUCAUACACAUAUCUACUAUAUACUGUACUAUAUGUCUUCAUACACACAUCUACUAUAUCCUGUACUAUAUGUCUUCAUACACACAUCUACUAUAUACUGUACUAUAUGUCUUCAUACACAUAUCUACUAUAUACUGUUCUAUGUCUACAUACACAUAUCUACUAUAUAAUGUACUAUGUCUACAUACACAUAUCUACUAUAUACUGUACUAUAUGUCUUCAUACACACAUCUACUAUAUCCUGUACUAUAUGUCUUCAUACACACAUCUACUAUAUACUGUACUAUAUGUCUUCAUACACAUAUCUACUAUAUACUGUUCUAUGUCUACAUACACAUAUCUACUAUAUAAUGUACUAUGUCUACAUACACAUAUCUACUAUAUACUGUACUAUAUGUCUUCAUACACAUAUCUACUAUAUACUGUACUAUAUGUCUUCAUACACACAUCUACUAUAUACUGUACUAUAUGUCUUCAUACACAUCUACUAUAUACUGUACUAUAUGUCUUCAUACACACAUCUACUAUAUACUGUACUAUAUGUCUUCAUACACACAUCUACUAUAUACUGUACUAUAUGUCUUCAUACACAUAUCUACUAUAUACUGUACUACUAUAUACUAUAUACUGUACUAUAUGUCUUCAUACACACAUCUACUAUAUACUGUACUAUAUGUCUUCAUACACACAUCUACUAUAUACUGUACUAUAUGUCUUCAUACACACAUCUACUAUAUACUGUACUAUAUGUCUUCAUACACAUAUCUACUAUAUACUGUACUACUAUAUACUAUAUACUGUAUUAUGUCUUCAUACACACAUCUAUAUACUGUACUAUAUGUCUUCAUACACACAUCUACUAUAUACUGUACUAUAUGUCUUCAUACACACAUCUACUAUAUACUGUACUAUAUGUAUGUUUUUAUAUAGAUACAUCUAA